rnacentral:rRNA from 1 species
UACGUAGGGCGCAAGCGUUGUCCGGAAUUAUUGGGCGUAAAGAGCUCGUAGGCGGUUUGUCACGUCUGCUGUGAAAACCUAAGGCUCAACCUUGGGCUUGCAGUGGGUACGGGCAGACUAGAGUGCGGUAGGGGUGACUGGAAUUCCUGGUGUAGCGGUGAAAUGCGCAGAUAUCAGGAAGAACACCCGUGGCGAAGGCGGCUCUCUGGGACGGUACUGACGCUGAGACGCGAAAGCGUGGGGAGCGAACAGG